CAUUCCUCCUGAGAUACCAUGAGUGCAACAUGCUGCACCCUGAGCAGCAGCAGCAGAGGCAGCGGGUAGACAAUUGACAGUCUUGUAUUGUGGUUUUUACCCUGUACAGCUCAUCAUGCACGAGGCGGAAUUUGAGGCCACUUCAGUGCCCAGUUUCUGAGACCCAGAUGUGAGGCAGUUGGACAGCACCUGACCAGUGUGACAGGCCGACAUAAAUAACUGAGGCUAACGCCUGGCUGCAAUGGCAGGACACAGGCAACACACAAUGUACUGCCAAGCACAGAAAGCAGAGCAAUGUGUUUCCUCUCUCUGAGCUACAGCAGCCUGCAGCGUUCGUAUAACUGCUCAGGGCGUACGCUGCAGGCUCCAGUGCAGUGUGGAAGCUGACUGGGUCUCUUUAAGGUCUUGUUUGAUGUGUCUUUUGAAUUGUUUUGAAUUGUUUCAUUAUGAUGUACGGUGCUGGGAUAGGAGGGGGUUAAUCAAUAAAAUGUUUUAUUUUU